GUAGGGGGCAAGCGUUAUCCGGAUUUACUGGGUGUAAAGGGAGCGUAGACAGAAUGGCAAGUCUGAUGUGAAAGGCCGGGGCUCAACCCCGGGACUGCAUUGGAAACUGCCAAUCUAGAGUGCCGGAGGGGUAAGUGGAAUUCCUAGUGUAGCGGUGAAAUGCGUAGAUAUUAGGAGGAACACCAGUGGCGAAGGCGGCUUACUGGACGGUAACUGACGUUGAGGCUCGAAAGCGUGGGGAGCAAACAGGAUUAGAUACCCAGGUAGUCCACGCCGUAAACGAUGAAUACUAGGUGUUGGGUAGCAAAGCUAUUCGGUGCCGCAGCAAACGCAAUAAGUAUUCCACCUGGGGAGUACGUUCGCAAGAAUG
rnacentral:rRNA from 1 species